rnacentral:rRNA from 1 species
CCUACGGGUGGCAGCAGUGAGGAAUAUUGGUCAAUGGACGAGAGUCUGAACCAGCCAAGUAGCGUGAAGGAUGACUGCCCUAUGGGUUGUAAACUUCUUUUAUAAAGGAAUAAAACGACGCACGUGUGCCUUUUUGCAUGUACUUUAUGAAAAAGCAUCGGCUAACUCCGUGCCAGCAGCCGCGGUAAUACGGAGGUUGCGAGCGUUAUCCGGAUUUAUUGGGUUUAAAGGGUGCGUAGGCGGACUGUUAAGUCAGCGGUAAAAGCCCGGGGCUCAACCCCGGCGAGCCGUGGAAACUGGCUGUCUUGAGAUGGCGGAAGGUAUGCGGAAUGCGUAGUGUAGCGGUGAAAUGCUUAGAUAUUGCGCAGAACUCCGAUUGCGAAGGCAGCAUACCGACGGCGAUCUGACGCUGAGGCACGAAAGCGUGGGUAUCGAACAGGAUUAGAUACCCGAGUAGUC